UCCGCAAUGGGCGAAAGCCUGACGGAGCGACGCCGCGUGGAGGACGAAGGCCUUCGGGUUGUAAACUCCUGUCACGGAUUAAGAAUGGCUUGGUGUUAACAGCAUCAAGUUUGACGUAAGUCCGAGAGGAAGCACUGGCUAACUCUGUGCCAGCAGCCGCGGUAAUACAGAGAGUGCAAACGUUGUUCGGAAUUACUGGGCUUAAAGCGCACGUAGGCGGCUCCGCAAGUGUCGGGUGAAAUCCCACGGCUUACCCGUGGAACUGCCCGGCAGACUGCGGAGCUAGAGGAUGGUAGGGGAGAGCGGAACUCCUGGUGGAGCGGUGAAAUGCGUAGAUAUCAGGAGGAACACCGGUGGCGAAGGCGGCUCUCUGGUCCAUAACUGACGCUGAGGUGCGAAAGCUAGGGGAGCAAACGGGAUUAGAUACCCCGGUAGUCCUAGCUGUAAACGAUGGGCACUAACUUGGGGUCUCCCUGUGUGAUCCCAGGUGUAGCAAAAGUGAUAAGUGCCCCGCCUGGGGAGUAUGGUCGCAAGGCUGAAACUCAAAGGA
rnacentral:rRNA from 1 species